AAUCCUUCCCAGCAUCAGGAUCUUCUCCAGGAAGUCCUUCCUUCUCAUUAGGUGGCCAAGGUAUAUGAGUUUCAUCUUCAGUAUCUGGCCUUCUAAAGAGCAGUCGGGGUUGCUUUCCUUUAAGAUUGAUUGGUUUGAUCUCUUUUCAGUCCCAGGGACUCUCAAGA